rnacentral:rRNA from 1 species
UACGUAGGGUGCAAGCGUUUGUCCGGAAUUAUUGGGCGUAAAGAGCUCGUAGGCGGUUUGUCACGUCGGAUGUGAAACCCUGAGGCUCAACCUCAGGCCUGCAUUCGAUACGGGCAGACUAGAAUUCGGCAGGGGAGACUGGAAUUCCUGGUGUAGCGGUGAAAUGCGCAGAUAUCAGGAGGAACACCGGUGGCGAAGGCGGGUCUCUGGGCCGAUAUUGACGCUGAGGAGCGAAAGCGUGGGGGAGCAAACAGG